AUGCUUGGUGUGGACACUUUCUAAAUAAUUCCUUAAAUCUCUCCCAAUAUUCAUAUAUUGAUGCUCCAUCUAGUUGGGUAAAGGAGGUAAUGUUAUUCCUAAGUUU